ACCUGUGGAUCCCCCACACGAGCAGGCAAAGACAGGACCCUGCGUCAGAGACUGUCAUAAACCCUGAAUUGAGGUGCUCCCAGGCUGCCCCAUCCUGUGCCGCUUUCAAGCUGGCCGUGAGCAGCCGGGCUGGGCUCAAGAUGCACAAGACAAGCUGCACACCUGGAUGAGCACACCUUUAUUUUUAGUUCCAGAAAUACACAUCUAAGAGGUCCGGACCUCACCUGGACGUGUCACCUACGCCACCGCUCCUUGCAGCUGCCCCUCUCUGCCUGCGCUGGAACGUUCCCUCUGCACGCUGGUGCGAGGCCGUUAGAGGGCAUUUGGGUUUCAUUUUCCAUCGCCCCAAGGGUUCCUGCUGAGGGAAAGCACAGCCAGAGCAGCUCUCCUGCGCUGACUCCUGCACAGCUGGAGCAGCCCCAGCCCGUCGAGAGGCGGCUCCCACUCAUCUCGGCGAUUUUGUUUUCCCUUUCUUCCCCUGCUUUUCCUUUGGCCUGGGCUCGCAGGGAAUGUGCUUGGAUGGCGGGCGGUAUGUCUGGUGCCGCGGGACGGUGUCUCCGUCUGAGCUCCUCGCUCGCCGCAGCCCUGCCAGACCGCCAGCGCCUGGGAGAGGAGGAGGCCAGGAGGAGAGCGGGAAGGCUCGUGUUUGCUCUGGAGGGGUGCAGGGAAGGUGAAUUACAGCUGCCAGCAGGAGGGCCCUGCCCGUGCCCAGGAAGGAGCUGCUGGUGGCGGGUCCUUUCAGAGCAGAGCUGCACGAUGUGGUGGAGGAGCAGCAUCACCUUUCCAGGAGCUCCACUGAUCCAGGAGAAGAGUGAUUCCUGGCUUCUUGGGUGGGUUCAUGCUUGGGGCAGGGUUUUCCCAUUUCCCAUUUCAUUCAGCCUAAGAAAUUCGGGAAUGCUGCCCACCAAUCCUGCCUGGGGCAGCUGGGUGCACAGAGGAGGCAAGUGCCAAGUGAGAGGGGGGUCUUGUUCUCUAUUUCCAGCCUCCUUUGCAGCCAAAGUCCAUCAGUUCUUCUCUAGUUUCCUGAUGGAAACUUCUCUAGUUUCUCCAUCUUCACCAAAACCACAAUGCCAUAGGUUUGUGCCAGACUCUUUGCCGGGAUGAGGCAUUGGCUCCGGGAUGAAACCAGGGUGGGCACAGCUACAAACGACCUCCUCUUGCCCUCUGGAAAGGCACAGUGGAGAAUGAUGGGGAGAUAGAGCAGGAUGUGGUGUGUUCUCUACGUCUGGGGAGCAGGGGCGUGUGGCAGCAAGGCUGGGUUACACCAUGU